rnacentral:tRNA from 1 species
GGAUUGUGGCUCAGCGGUAGAGUACUCGCCUCUCACGUGAGAGGCACUGGGUUCGAUCCUCAGCACCA